rnacentral:rRNA from 1 species
UUAUCGGAGAGUUUGAUCCUGGCUCAGGACGAACGCUGGCGGCGUGCCUAAUACAUGCAAGUCGAGCGGAYUGAUGGGAGCUUGCUCCCAUCARUCAGCGGCGGACGGGUGAGUAACACGUGGGUAACCUGCCUGUAAGACUGGGAUAACUCCGGGAAACCGGGGCUAAUACCGGAUAACUCAUUUCYUCGCAUGAGGAAAUGUUGAAAGGUGGCUUUUAGCUAUCACUUACAGAUGGACCCGCGGCGCAUUAGCUAGUUGGUGAGGUAACGGCUCACCAAGGCGACGAUGCGUAGCCGACCUGAGAGGGUGAUCGGCCACACUGGGACUGAGACACGGCCCAGACUCCUACGGGAGGCAGCAGUAGGGAAUCUUCCGCAAUGGACGAAAGUCUGACGGAGCAACGCCGCGUGAGUGAUGAAGGUUUUCGGAUCGUAAAACUCUGUUGUUAGGGAAGAACAAGUACCGUUCGAAUAGGGCGGUACCUUGACGGUACCUAACCAGAAAGCCACGGCUAACUACGUGCCAGCAGCCGCGGUAAUACGUAGGUGGC